rnacentral:lncRNA from 1 species
CAUGAAUGGCUUCCUAGAUGACCUAGUUUAUAAUUUUAAGAUAGCACCUUUUUUAAACCCUUUAAUUAUGAAAGGUUUCAUAAUUGGCUAGAUUUCGUGACACAUCAUGUUUAAUGUUAUUUGGAGUUGUGUCAAGUCAAUCACAAGCAUUUGGUAAGUUUUUCAAGCAUAUUCGUACAAGCUUGGGCUAAGGGAGUCUUGUAUGAUAGAUAGUCAAUGAUGAAAUGAGACUUCGAGGGAUCUCGAAGACAAAAGGAGUGUGCUAGCAUUUGUUUCAAGACCUCGCGGGUAGUUUGCAGGAUGUUCGCGGGAGGUUGCUAGAAGAUAUCGAGAGCUGAAUUUCACAGAGAAGCUCAUGGGUACUUUGCGAGAGCUCGUGGGAGGUCACAAGAAGAAAUCGAGAGCUUGUACUUUGUCACAGACCUCGCAGGAGGUCGCGGGACCGUCGCGGGAAGAAGCUGAGAGUUUGUGUUUUGCCACAGACCUCGCGGGAUCGUCACGGGAGCGACAAAGUUUGUGGGAUCCUCGCGGGAGCAAGCUGUGCAAUACUGUAGCAACAGGAUCUGCGGUUUUUAAGGUUUUCAGCCACUAUAAAAGGAAAAACACACUUCUACAAAGAUCAUCUGAAUAGCCUCCAUCAAUAUAACCUAUAGAAAAGUGUUCUCUAUCUUCCGAAAAACUCAGAAACAAAUCUUAACACAAAUUUUCUUCAACCUAAUUGGAAAAAUCGAAAUCCUUGAAGGAGUUCAAGGUGUGAAAUCCGUUCUAAAGGGAUCUGAACGAUGAUCAAGCACGGUGACAGUGAAUCGUGGAUACGAGUUAGAUCUUAGCAAUCAUCAGAUCAAGGAGUUGAUAGCUUUUGAUUGUAAGAGUCUUGUAACUUUUUGAAACUUGUGAUAUAGUGCAUGAUCUUUGUUCGAAAAGUGGACACGUAAUUUUUUUCCCAUUCAAGGGUUUCCACGGUAAAAAUCUCGUGUUCAUCUUGCUUAAUUAGUUUGUUCUUUUUACAUCUUGGAUCUUACAAUAUUGCUCAAAGUCAUUAUAUUUUAAUUCAAUAUUGUAGUUUGCAGAUCCUUGGAUAAAACCUAGAUAAAGAUUAAUUUUUUCAAUUGAUAUCAGAGCAGGACACUCAAAAAUAUUUUUUUAUUUUUAAAAGAGUGAGAUUUUAAUAGUCUAUGUGUAUGGAUUUGCCUAAGGAAGGUAGUUCCACAACUCAACCUCCCUUACUUGAUGGGACAAUCUAUUCAUAUUCGAAAGCUAAAAUAAGGGUUUUCCUUAAGUCUAUAGAUGAGUGUGUAUGACAGGCGCUUAUCCAUUUCAAUAAUUUUUUGUUUUCAAGAUGCUGACCCUAGUUGUUUAGGUAGUACUGUCAGUACACAAAACUCACAGUUAAGAUCCUCUGAAGUAGAUUUCCCUGAAGUGUCCCUGGAGCUAUUAAAAUGACGUUUUUUUUGUAUUAAAACGACGUCAUUUCGAUUACUCUUAAAAUUUUUCCUGGGUGUUCAAAACGACAUUGUUUUUAUUUGGCUCCAAAUUUUUGAUUUCCCUCCGUCAUUUUUGAAAACUCUCUCUCUUUGCUCCUCUCUCUCGCUCUAUCUAUUAGAUGGAAACCAAAUAGAGCAGAAAAAACUCUCCUCCCUCUCUCUCUCGUAGCUCACUUUACCACCACCGCCUCCUUCCAGUCUGCCGCCGCCUGCGACAUCUCCACCGCCAGCAUCUUUUCCGCUCCCUCCUGUAGCGCCAGCAGUUGAUCCGCCCCUGCCGGCGACUCUAGCUCCGUCGAACUCGUCCACCAAUGGCCACAGCUCCGCCGCCGUCUCCAGGUACUUUGUCGUCUAGGAUUAAUGGUGCAGUUGAUUUAUGGCUGGGGAAAAAUCAGAUCCGUAAGCUGCCUGGGAACUGGUCUUAUGGGAUUGAUUGGGCUAUUAAAAACUGUGGCAGUACGUCUUUUAGGAAUUCUAUCAUCAAACUAUCUUUGGCAGCUGCCAUUUACUAUUUGUGAGCAGAAAGAAAUUGCUAGAAUAUUUAGACAAAAGUCCAGGGGCAAUGAUUCACUACCCCUAGAGGUCAGUAAAAUGUUCUCAAUAUAGGGUUUUUGGACAUGAUGAAUCUCAUUGCUUGAAUGAGAGGAAGUCUGUUCAGUCACCUGUGAAGGAAUAGGUCUGGGUAGUUAAGAAAAAGAUAUCUGUACAAGAGGAGGAUGUUGUGGCUGUCUCAAGGGACUGCAAAUGAUGGGCCUCAAAUCCCUCCAUUUCAUCAAGCAGGGUUAGGGACCCCUCUGGAAAUUAGUUUGAUGUUCUUGAGUCUUCUGCUUACAAGGAGCUGUUUGGUGAGAAUGUGUGGAAGCAUGGGCGGGUCCUUUAGUUUGCCCUUGGACUGCUUUGAUAUAUGGGUUGAUGCAGAGUGGGCAUUGGGUUGAUGGGUUUAAUCUCUUCAUUGAGAUUUAAGACCAUGUAUGGGGGCUUAGGCCACUGAAUAGCUCAUAGCCUUGUAUUAAAAU